rnacentral:rRNA from 1 species
UCUUCCACAAUGGACGAAAGUCUGAUGGAGCAACGCCGCCUGAGUGAAGAAGGGUUUCGGCUCGUAAAACUCUGUUGUUAAAGAAGAACAUAUCUGAGAGUAACUGUUCAGGUAUUGACGGUAUUUAACCAGAAAGCCACGGCUAACUACGUGCCAGCAGCCGCGGUAAUACGUAGGUGGCAAGCGUUGUCCGGAUUUAUUGGGCGUAAAGCGAGCGCAGGCGGUUUUUUAAGUCUGAUGUGAAAGCCUUCGGCUCAACCGAAGAAGUGCAUCGGAAACUGGGAAACUUGAGUGCAGAAGAGGACAGUGGAACUCCAUGUG